UGAGGAAUAUUGCGCAAUGGACGAAAGUCUGACGCAGCGACGCCGCGUGGAGGAUGAAGGUCUUAGGAUUGUAAACUUCUGUUAAGCGGGAAGAAAAGUAAAGCUUGAAUACAGCUUUAUCAUGACGGUACCGCUAGAGAAAGCACCGGCUAACUUCGUGCCAGCAGCCGCGGUAAUACGAAGGGUGCGAGCGUUAUUCGGAAUUAUUGGGCGUAAAGGGUGCGUAGGCGGCAUGCUAAGUCAACUGUUAAAGACCUCAGCCUAACUGGGGAUCGGCGGUAGAUACUGGCGUGCUAGAGGGUGGAAGAGAGAAGUGGAAUUCUUGGAGUAGCGGUAAAAUGCGUAGAUCUCAAGAGGAACACCGAUGGCGAAGGCAGCUUCUUGGUCCACAUCUGACGCUGAGGCACGAAAGCAUGGGGAGCAAACAGGAUUAGAUACCCCCGUAGUCC
rnacentral:rRNA from 1 species